UUUGUUAUAUAUUUUGGUUACCUUUGCAUAACUGUAUAUGUACCAUUAGUCGAUUCUUUUUAAAAGCUGCAUAAUAUACUACUCUUUAAGUGCACAGUCACUUAUUUAGCUAAUUUAUUGAUGCUAUUUUAAAUUAUGAAAAUCAUAAACAAUUCAAUAAAAGUUAUUGGGCAUUUUCAAUCUGCACAAUAUUGUGCCAACAACUGGAGCCAAAAUGAAUGCAAUAAUCUCUGCCACUAGGGAGUUUCUGAUCUACUGGAAUACAGCAAUGAAUUAAUCAAUAUAAUGCAAUGUAAAUGCUGUCUCAGAAAUAUGCAGAGACACAAGAGGAGACAGACACUUGGAGUAUUCAGGCUUGAAAGGAAAGGUCAAUUGUGGUGGCUGACAUCUGUAAUGCCAACAUGUUGGGAGGCAGAGUCACAUCCUGAAUCAGGAAAAAAUAAUUCUGCAUAUUUGAAACAUGAGGAAUUUAUAAAGGGAUUAUUUAAACAGGAAAUAGAAAAGAUGAGAUGCCAGCAGUUGAUGGGGAGGAAGCCCUGAAACUGGCAGCAGUAAGAGGCAACAGAAGCCCCGAGGCUCCAGCGUAUAAGGCUUGACUGCUGUUUUAUACAAAUGGAUGGCAAAGUAUGCAAGAGAAUGCAUUGUGUUUUAUACUCUCCAUCAUCAGAGCAAAGUGCCUUAUGUAUGGUGAUGGCUCAAUGGAUAUCUGCUGAAAAGGCAAGAGAAUUGGAUUAAAAAAACAUUAUUAUACUGAUACAAGAAAUAUUUUUCUGCUUGCUUUGUUUUAUAAAUUAUAAAUCUUCAGCAUGACAAGCUUUGAAAUGUAGGCUUCCACCUUGUAAAGAACAGAAAAAUAAAUUUAAUAUAUUUUUCCUUUUCAUCUUUACUGUCGGAUAAGAAUUUAUGUAGUUUAGUGCUUAGAACUUGAAACUGAGCUCUAUCUUUUAUGCAUUCUGUCGACCUGACUAAUUUGUGGCUCUCUCUCGAUUUAUGUCUCAAUUUCCCAUUCUGUUUUCAUAAACAACAAUAAAUGUGUCCUUAGAGGGAGAUCUGUGAAAUUUAAUUUGUGUUUUGGGAGGCCUUUGGGACAUUUGUGUGAAAGUGUGUAAAAUGCAAAUUAUCAUUGUGGAUUCUUAUACCUUCAUUUGCAUGUGUUGUUUCUAGUGCAAUUCUGAAGGCUGGGAGUAUUUUCAUCACUUCAUUCAAAAAGAUUCAACCAAAUCGUUUCCUCAUAAGCAGGUUGAUCCACUUGCGUCAUGCUAAUCAGUUUUUCAUUUUCUGGUCAAUUCUUAAAAUUGACUGUAGCCAAAAUGUUAAUUAUCAACAUAGUAAACCCUGGGCAAUCCAGAACACUGUCACUUGCACAGGCAACAAAGUGGAAAAUUCCCAGUGCCCCGAACCUUUUUACAGCCCCAAUGAGUGACAAUCGUUAGCAUUUUGGUUAAAUCUCAGGCUUUCUGUAAGAAAUCACAGCAGGAGAUUGCUUUUAAGAAAGAAGUCCUGAGGCUCUCAGCUCAACUAGUCAGGUAAAAUCUCUUCCCCCACAGCCUCAGGACUGCCAAUUAGUAUCUGACAUGGCUGCCAAGGAAACGCCAAUGCUCAGAGUCCUGAUUAUUGCCCUCCUCUGAGCAAGAGCCCAGUGAAAAAAAUGUUUGGUAAUUAGCUCAAGCCAAAGAGGCUCAAGACUUGUCUUUCUUUUUCACUAAAGACCAGGAUGGUAGUGAAGGAAGCUCCAGUAAUUAGCACACAACAGGCAAGAUAUUUCUCUUCACUUUAAGUCCUUCUUUAUAUGAGAGUAAGGUCAAAUGAAAACUUGUCAUGGAAAAGACAAUAGUAUGAAAAAUUAAGGGAUUUGCAUCUUAAUAGUCCUGGGGGGUACAUCUUUCAGAACAGUGAUACUAGAAACUGCCUUUUCAUGAAUUUCUGGGAAUUUAGCGACAUGGUACUAAUCCUAUAUUUCAGAACUGGGUUCC